rnacentral:rRNA from 1 species
AGCAAUACCGCGUGAGGGAGGAAGGCUCUUGGGUCGUAAACCUCUUUUCUCAAGGAAGAAGAAAGUGACGGUACUUGAGGAAUAAGCAUCGGCUAACUCCGUGCCAGCAGCCGCGGUAAUACGGAGGAUGCAAGCGUUAUCCGGAAUGAUUGGGCGUAAAGGGUCUGCAGGUGGAACUGAAAGUCUGCUGUUAAAGAGUUUGGCUUAACCAAAUAAAAGCGGUGGAAACUACAGAACUAGAGUGCGGUAGGGGCAAAAGGAAUUCCUGGUGUAGCGGUGAAAUGCGUAGAUAUCAGGAAGAACACCGGUGGCGAAAGCGUUUUGCUAGACCGUAACUGACACUGAGGGACGAAAGCUAGGGGAGCGAAUGGGAUUAGAUACCCCAGUAGUCCUAGCCGUAAACGAUGGAUACUAGGCGUGGCUUGUAUCGACCCGAGCCGUGCCGGAGCUAACGCGUUAAGUAUCCCGCCUGGGGAGUACGCACGCAAGUGUGAAACUCAAAGGAAUUGACGGGGGCCCGCACAAGCGGUGGAGUAUGUGGUUUAAUUCGAUGCAACGCGAAGAACCUUACCAAGACUUGACAUCCUGCGAAUCCCGGUGAAAGCUGGGAGUGCCUUAGGGAGCGCAGAGACAGGUGGUGCAUGGCUGUCGUCAGCUCGUGUCGUGAGAUGUUGGGUUAAGUCCCGCAACGAGCGCAACCCUCGUUUUUAGUUGCCAGCAUUAAGUUGGGCACUCUAGAGAGACUGCCGGUGACAAACCGGAGGAAGGUGGGGAUGACGUCAAGUCAGCAUGCCCCUUACGUCUUGGGCUACACACGUACUACAAUGCUACGGACAGAGGGCAGCGAGCCAGGGAUGGCAAGCGAAUCCAGAAACCGUAGCUCAGUUCAGAUCGAAGGCUGCAACUCGCCUUCGUGAAGGAGGAAUCGCUA